CUGCAUGCAAGCCUGCAAUAAAAGCUUCUUUUAUCUCCUUGCUAUUACAACAAUCACCAAUGGCAAAGACAUUCUCAAAGUCUUCAACUUGGAAAUAUUCAUUCACUUUAAGUUGCUUCUUUUCAUCCAUCUUGUCCGACAGACUGGACUGGUAUGCUCCGCUAUUUAAACUUAAUCCAAUACAUUUCAACAACAGAUCAGCAUCGAUAUUUGUUUCUGGGUUGUUCGUGGUUACUUUGAGUGGACCAGACACCCAGCCGAUUCCACUUUUAAACUAAA